rnacentral:rRNA from 1 species
AGUCGAACGAAGUAGCAAUACUUAGUGGCAGACGGGUGAGUAACAUGUAGGCAUCUGCCCUUUGGCCUGGAAUAACACGAGGAAACUUGUGCUAAUACCGGAUAAGUCUUUACGGAGAAAGCUUUAUGCACCAUUGGAUGAGCCUGCACUUGAUUAGUUUGUUGGUGGGGUAAUGGCCUACCAAGACUGUGAUCAAUAGCUGAUUUGAGAGGAUGAUCAGCCACAUUGGGACUGAGACACGGCCCAAACUCCUACGGGAGGCAGCAGUGGGGAAUCUUGCACAAUGGAGGAAACUCUGACGCAGCGAUGCCGCGUGAGUGAAGAAGGCCCUUGGGUUGUAAAGCUCUUUCGUCGGGGAAGAAAAUGACUGUACCCGAAUAAGAAGGUCCGGCUAACUUCGUGCCAGCAGCCGCGGUAAUACGAAGGGACCUAGCGUAGUUCGGAAUUACUGGGCUUAAAGAGUUCGUAGGUGGUUGAAAAAGUUGGUGGUGAAAUCCCAGAGCUUAACUCUGGAACUGCCAUCAAAACUUUUCAGCUAGAGUAUGAUAGAGGAAAGCAGAAUUUCUAGUGUAGAGGUGAAAUUCGUAGAUAUUAGAAAGAAUACCAAUUGCGAAGGCAGCUUUCUGGAUCAUUACUGACACUGAGGAACGAAAGCAUGGGUAGCGAAGAGGAUUAGAUACCCUCGUAGCCCAUGCCGUAAACGAUGUGUGUUAGACGUUGGAAAUU